rnacentral:rRNA from 1 species
GACGAACGCUGGCGGCGUGCUUAACACAUGCAAGUCGAACGGAAAGGCCCCUUUGGGGGUACUCGAGUGGCGAACGGGUGAGUAACACGUGAGUAACCUGCCCUUGACUUCGGGAUAACUUCAGGAAACUGGGGCUAAUACCGGAUAGGAAUCAUUGCUGCAUGGUGGGGGUUGGAAAGCUUCGGGGGUUUGGGGUGGACUCGCGGCUUAUUAGCUUGGUGGUGGGGGAGUGGCUUACCAAGGCUUUGACGGGGAGCCGGCCUGAGAGGGCGGCCGGCCACAUUGGGACUGAGGAUCGGCCCAGACUCCUACGGGAGGCAGCAGUGGGGAAUAUUGCACAAUGGGCGGAAGCCUGAUGCAGCAACGCCGCGUGCGGGAUGACGGCCUUCGGGUUGUAAACCGCUUUCAGCAGGGGCGAAGCUUGUGGUGACGGUACCUGCAGAAGAAGCACCGGCUAACUACGUG